UUAUAAAGUAAGCUAAUUAAGCUAGUGGGUUCAUACCCCAAAUAUGAUAAAUCUAUCCUUUAUAAA
rnacentral:tRNA from 1 species